AGGAAGAACCGACAUCAAAAGCGUUUGAGAUAUCUCCAUCAACAAGCUUACAGUGAUAUUAAUACAGCAUUUAAAGACAGAUCUUUAAAAAAAUCAAGUUCAAGGAAACGAACUUCCGUCAAAGCGUCCGAGCAAUCACCCGGACAUAGCCGGACAACAUCUGCUGAUAAAACCAGUACUUCAAUGCCCAUGACAUCGGUUGGUACAAACAGAUUUUCAAUGGACACAUCUGAUGGGACAGCACCGUCUAGCAGCCGGC